rnacentral:rRNA from 1 species
GACAGAGGUGGCAAGCGUUGUUCGGAAUCACUGGGCUUAAAGAGCACGUAGGCGGCCGGGUAUGUCCGGCGUGAAAGCCCUCGGCCCAACCGAGGAACUGCGCCGGAAACUGCCCGGCUCGAGGGCAGAAGAGGAGAGUGGAACUCCUGGUGUAGCGGUGAAAUGCGUAGAUAUCAGGAGGAACGCCGGAGGCGAAAGCGACUCUCUGGGCUGUCCCUGACGCUGUGGUGCGAAAGCCAGGGGAGCGAACGGG